ACUGACAUAUGCCCAUCCCAUGGGCAUAUGACAUCUUAUAUGAUAGACGGAGCAUCGAAUGCUACCGCCUACUGGCACUGACGAGACGCGGGGCCGCCAUCUUGGAGUGGUCAUCCGCUCCACUCAGUGUAAUCCGUUUGGCUGGAGCAAUGAACUGUCAGCGCAUUUAAUUGACCUUUCGCAAAAGCCCCGCCCCCCUUAGUUACCGUUGCUAGCCCGACAAGCUUCUUGACGCCGACGGAGUGUCAACACAGUGUCAUGUCGGGGAAAAAUAUAGCGGUGCGUGUCAGUGACUCUUUUUGGAGCAAUACUUGUGCGAUAUCCUCCAGAUCGAGGCAAAAGGGGUUACAGUAUGCGGUGGAGGGAUACAUUAAAAACAUUAAAAUAAACAAAGAAGGGGACACUACGACUGUCGAGGCGAAAGCGUACCGGUCAAUGGCCAAAUCGGAGAAACCCCAUGAUCUUUACCUCACAUGCAACGAGCACAGCCUUUUGGACCAGUUAUGCUCUUGCACUGCCGGUUCACCAGGUUUUUGCUCUCACAUUGUGGGCCUUAUGUAGGGUUGCCAACUUUAAGAAAUUAAAAUAAGGGACGCUCACCACGGGCCCGAAUCCUGUGGGGCGGGGCGCCCGCAGCAGUGGUAUGUUUUAUUUUGUGCUGGUGUUUUUAGUAAAGGGUUGAUCAAGAAAGCAAUUAGUCAUACUUGAAGCUUGAAAUGCUUUAUUAUCAUAAAACAUUCUCUUAUAAAGUGCAGUCAAUUAAAUCUUGAAUGAAAUCUCUUUGUGUGGCGUGUGCAGCAAUGAACUUUUAAAAUAUAAACUAAAUAAACUGAGAACUUCAUGUUACUUUUUAAGUGCAUAACUAUAGGGACUCUCUUUGAACAUUUUUACAAAAAAAAAACAGUACAAAUAAACAACAAAAACACUUAUGUAAAAAAAGAAAGUGCAAAACAUUACUCCUUCCCUCAACAUUACUCCUCCCUCAAAACUGUUACUUCUUUUUCCAGGUGUACUUCUUGUUACUCCUUGCAGCACUGAGUAACUCUUUGUCUUUCAAAGCGCUGUUGUAAAACUCUGAACAGGACUGCUCAAACUUGAGAGUGAUCAGCAGCUCACUUCUCAUGAGCUCUGUGGAGCACCUAUUCCUGCAGUCACUCCAUUUGUUGGCCAUUCUGGAGAAGAUCCUUUCCACACAUCCAGUGGAUGCUGGGAUGCUCAGGAUGUGUCUGGUGAUAGACAGCAUGUUUGGCAGGUCAGCUACUCGAAAGAGAGCCACCAACCUGGCAGCCACACCUUUGGACUUCCAUUCAUCUUCAGCAUCUUCUUUGAGCCUCUUCAGAAUGGGUUUUGCUGUGGAGCAUUCAUCAUAAAGUUCAUCCAUGUUGACUUUAUGGAUGACGUUGAGCUUGGUGGUCACCCUCUCAAUGUCAGUAAAGGUCAUGGUGCCAUGGUGCAGAGAGAGAGGUUGCAGUGAGAACAACCAGUAGUCUUCCGAAAAGUUGAACCAUUUCUCAACAUAUGAGAGUGCUGUGUUGAGGAAUACAGUAAAAUCUGCCCUUGCCAUGUCAGCAUCAAGUGGAAGGAGACGCUGCAGCUUCAAUUUAGUUAAGUAGCCAUAGAACUGUUAAUCUCGUCUCUGUGUGAGCUUUUGCUUGAAGUUUUCCAUGAUGGAAUAUAACUCAACACAGGUGGUUUCAUCACUCUCCAGCUUCUUUACAACUUCCUCAAAGAGAGAGAGGAUAUUAUUGCAGAAAAGAAGGUAAACCUCCACAAUGUCUCCAUCUUCCUCAGUUGAGUCCUCACUGAAAUUUAACAAUGCUCGAAGUUGUUUGGGACACUCCUCCCCCCAGGCUGAUGAAGUACGAUUUCAGUGCAAUCCAGGUUUGCAUUAGCCGGGUGAUGGCUGGAUUAAGGGAGAGCCACCUGGUUGUGACAUGUCGCAGAAUUUCCUGGAACGCAACAUCACAAAACCUACAAAACUCUUUGAGUGAUUCUCUUCGUUUGGCAGAUGUGGAAAAGAAGGCAUAGACCUUCAGCACAACAUUUUCCACAUCUACAGUGAGCUGGUCAAGAGCAUGCUUCACU
rnacentral:lncRNA from 1 species